rnacentral:lncRNA from 1 species
UUAUAGUGGGGUAGAGGUUAUAGUGGGGUGAAGUUUAUAGUGGGGUGGAGGUUGUAGUGGGGUGGAGGUUAUAGUGGGGUGGAGGUUAUAGUGGGGUAGAGGUAGAGGUUAUAGUGGGGUGGAGGUUAUAGUGGGGUGGAGGUUUGUGGCUGUGAGGCUCCUCCUCCUCCUCUAUGUGGCUGUGAGGCUCCUCCUCCAUGUGGCUGAGAGGCUCCUCCUCCUCCUCUAUGUGGCUAUGAGGCUCCUCCUCCUCCUCUAUGUGGCUGUGAGGCUCCUCCUCCUCUUCUAUGUGGCUGUGAGGCUCCUCCUCGUCCUCUAUGUGGCUGUGAGGCUCCUCCUCCUCUAUGUGGCUGUGAGGCUCCUCCUCCUCUUUGUGGCUGUUAGUCUCCCAUCCUCUUUGUGGCUGUUAGUCUCCUCCUCCUCCUUUUUGUGGCUGUGAGACUCCUCCUCCUGCUCUAUGUGGCUGUGAGGCUCCUCCUCCUCUUUGUGGCUGUUAGUCUCCUCCUCCUCCUUUUUGUGGCUGUGAGGCUCCUCCUCCUCUUCUAUGUGGCUGUGAGGCUCCUCCUCCUCCUCUAUGUGGCUGUGAGGCUCCUCCUCCUCCUCUAUGUGGCUGUGAGGCUCCUCCUCCUCCUCUAUGUGGCUGUGAGGCUCCUCCUCCUCCUCUUUGUUGCUGUGAGGCUCCUCCUCCUCUUUGUGGCUGUUAGUCUCCUCCUCCUCCUUUUUGUGGCUGUGAGGCUCCUCCUCCUCUAUGUGGAUGUGAGGCUCCUCCUCCUCUUUGUGGCUGUUAGUCUCCCAUCCUCUUUGUGGCUGUUAGUCUCCUCCUCCUUUUUGUGGCUGUGAGACUCCUCCUCCUGCUCUAUGUGGCUGUGAGGCUCCUCCUCCUCUUUGUGGCUGUUAGUCUCCUCCUCCUCCUUUUUGUGGCUGUGAGGCUCCUCCUCCUCUUCUAUGUGGCUGUGAGGCUCCUCCUCCUCUUUGUGGCUGUUAGUCUCCUCCUCCUCCUUUUUGUGGCUGUGAGGCUCCUCCUCCUCUUCUAUGUGGCUGUGAGGCUCCUCCUCCUCCUCUAUGUGGCUGUGAGGCUCCUCCUCCUCCUCUAUGUGGCUGUGAGGCUCCUCCUCCUCUAUGUGGCUGUGAGGCUCCUCCUCCUCCUCUAUGUGGCUGUGAGGCUCCUCCUCCUUUUUGUGGCUGUGAGGCUCCUCCUUCUCCUCUAUGUGGCUGUGAAGCUCCUCCUCCUCUAUGUGGCUGUGAGGCUCCUCCUCCUCCUCUAUGUGGCUGAGAGGCUCCUCCUCCUCUAUGUGGCUGUGAGGCUCCUCCUCCUCUAUGUAGCUGUGAGGCUCCUCCUCCUCCUCUAUGUCGCUGUGAGGCUCCUCCUCCUCCUCUUUGUUGCUGUGAGGCUCCUCCUCCUCUUUGUGGCUGUUAGUCUCCUCCUCCUCCUUUUUGUGGCUGUUAGUCUCCU